rnacentral:rRNA from 1 species
UACGCUGGCGGCACGCCUAACACAUGCAAGUCGAACGAAGUAGCAAUACUUAGUGGCGAACGGGUGAGUAUAAUGUGGGUAUCUGCCUUUUGGUUUGGAAUAACACGGGGAAACUUGUGCUAAUACCGGAUAAGCCUUCACAGGGAAAGUUUUAACGCCAAAAGAUGAGCCCGCACUUGAUUAGCUAGUUGGUAAGGUAAUAGCUUACCAAGGCUACGAUCAAUAGCUGAUCUGAGAGGAUGAUCAGCCACAUUGGGACUGAGACACGGCCCAAACUCCUACGGGAGGCAGCAGUGGGGAAUCUUGCACAAUGGGGGAAACCCUGAUGCAGCGAUGCCGCGUGAGUGAAGAAGGCCUUUGGGUUGUAAAACUCUUUCGUCGGGGAAGAAAAUGACUGUACCCGAAUAAGA